UACAACCAUAUCAUAUUGAAACACUGGUUCUCAUACAAUCACAGAAGUUAAGCAAUAUUGAGCCUGGUCAGUACUGAGGUGGGUGAGUAUUUGGGAAAAUCAGGUGCUGUAAG